UUAAGCGUCCAUACCACGUUGAACACACCGGUUCUCGUCCGAUCACCGAAGUUAAGCAACGUCGUUUCGUCUUCCUACUCUUUUUUGGAACAUGUAAAAUAACUGUAGCUCUUAAA
rnacentral:rRNA from 1 species